UUGCCUACGGGACGCAGCAGUGAGGAAUAUUGGUCAAUGGCCGAGAGGCUGAACCAGCCAAGUCGCGUGAGGGAUGACGGCCCUACGGGUUGUAAACCUCUUUUGUCGGGGAGCAAAGAGAGUCACGUGUGACUCAUUGAGAGUACCCGAAGAAAAAGCAUCGGCUAACUCCGUGCCAGCAGCCGCGGUAAUACGGAGGAUGCGAGCGUUAUCCGGAUUUAUUGGGUUUAAAGGGUGCGCAGGCGGAGGUGCAAGUCAGCGGUCAAAUUGCGGGGCUCAACCCCGUCGUGCCGUUGAAACUGAUG
rnacentral:rRNA from 1 species